UACGUAGGGACCAAGCGUUGUUCGGAUUUACUGGGCGUAAAGAGUGCGUAGGCGGUUUCGUAAGUCUGGUGUGAAAUCUCCCGGCUUAACUGGGAGGGUGCGCUGGAAACUGCGGAGCUGGAGUGUGGGAGAGGCAAGCGGAAUUCCUGGUGUAGCGGUGAAAUGCGUAGAUAUCAGGAGGAACACCUGCGGUGUAGACGGCUUGCUGGACCACUACUGACGCUGAGGCACGAAAGCGUGGGGAGCAAACAGG
rnacentral:rRNA from 1 species